UCGUAACAAGGUUUCCGUAGGUGAACCUGCGGAAGGAUCAUUACCGAGUUGAUUCGGGCUCCGUCCCGAUCCUCCCACCCUUUGUAUACCUACCUCUGUUGCUUUGGCGGGCCGCGGUCUUCCGCGGCCGCCCCCCGAUUUUGGGGGGUGGCUAGUGCCCGCCAGAGGACUAUCAAACUCCAGUCAGUAAACGUUGCAGUCUGAAAAAAAUAUUAAAUAAACUAAAACUUUCAACAACGGAUCUCUUGGUUCUGGCAUCGAUGAAGAACGCAGCGAAAUGCGAUAAGUAAUGUGAAUUGCAGAAUUCAGUGAAUCAUCGAAUCUUUGAACGCACAUUGCGCCCCUUGGUAUUCCGGGGGGCAUGCCUGUUCGAGCGUCAUUUCAACCCUCAAGCUCUGCUUGGUAUUGGGCACCGUCCUUUGCGGGCGCGCCUCAAAGACCUCGGCGGUGGCGUCUUGCCUCAAGCGUAGUAGAAUACACCUCGCUUCGGAGCGUAAGGCGUCGCCCGCCGGACGAACCUUCUGAACUUUUCUCAAGGUUGACCUCGGAUCAGGUAGGGAUACCCGCUGAACUUAAGCAUAUCA
rnacentral:misc_RNA from 1 species